ACGUAGGGUGCAAGCGUUGUCCGGAAUUAUGGGGCGUAAAGAGCUCGUAGGCGGUUUGUCGCGUCUGCGGUGAAAACUCGGGGCUUAACUCCGGGCCUGCAGUGGGUACGGGCAGACUAGAGUGCGGUAGGGGAGACUGGAAUUCCUGGUGUAGCGGUGAAAUGCGCAGAUAUCAGGAGGAACACCGGUGGCGAAGGCGGGUCUCUGGGCCGUAACUGACGCUGAGGAGCGAAAGCGUGGGGAGCGAACAGG
rnacentral:rRNA from 1 species